GUUCAAGGAAAAGGAAAGAACACCCACAAAAAUUACUCCCAAUCUUCUAUUGGACGACCCAGACAACGACCCUGUUGAUUACAUAUUUAAUGUCACAGUGUCCAUUUGCCAGGAUGGUGUCUGUCCGGACAGGAUAGACUGGUCCCCAGACAUUGCAUUUGAGACUUUGAACGUCACAAGACAAAC